CAAAUGUAGCGUCUCAAUCCGGGGAUUUACAUGUUUAGUAAUCGUCGUGGCGCUAAGAAGCUCGCGAGGCUUUCUGAUUAACCGUCAAACGUCGCCUCUAUCCGUAAAAACUCGGGUUGGAGGAAAAGAAAAGGUCUCGAAGGUUUUCAUCGAGAAUAAAGAAGACGUCGAGAAAGGGGCAACCGGUUUCUCUCUAUGCUUAUAAACAAAGCCGACGUGUCGUGCACCGUGUUGCAACAGAGACGGAUAAGAAUAUCUGCAAGCGAAGCGCACGAGAGCAACGCGGAGCUCUGAUCUGAUGAUCAGAUUUGAUAUCAAGAUUUCAAUGGCAGACGACACUUUUACCACCAGGUUCCCGAUGAGAUGUAGCUCAGCUCAUUCUGGCUAGUGCUUGUAUGUCCAAUAACGGGAUUGGAUGCAACAAGCGCUGAUUUCCAGUCCUAGUAGAGAAUGGCUCAUGGGUGGAAUCCAUACUUUCAGAACCUUCCACCACUGUCAUCCGAUCCUGAGACACUGAGGAGGACGGCAGAGUCUGACGGAUCUCUGUCCCAGCAUACAGAGAACUUGACUGGACAUCAUGGUUUCUCAGGUACAGUGGCUUCACAAGAAGCUGCUGUAUCACACCCAAACUUUAACACAAGUUAUUACGCAAAUCCUCGUUCUGAAGAUUCAAGAUCGGACUGUGUUUACGAAAGGUACUGCCAAACACAAUGGCGAGCAGAUGGAGAACAAAUGGAAAAGGAUUACAUUCCAAGAUGUGGAAACAACAGUUUCCCCAGUUUUGCACCAGAUGGGUUACCAACAUCAGACUCUUUUCAUUCAUCUUUUACACCAGAUUUACAAGGAGUUGAACAAAACUGUAAAAUGUCAUCUGCAUCAUGUCUUGAGGACUACUCGUCUGUAAGCAGCUGCUCAGAUAUAGAUGGUGAAGAACGACCUUGUAAAUUCAGUGGAAGUGACACAUUUCCGAAGCAAAAAGCUGAGAUUGAUUUGAAAGA